CCUACGGGCGGCUGCAGUGGGGAAUUUUGGACAAUGGGCGAAAGCCUGAUCCAGCCAUGCCGCGUGUGUGAAGAAGGCCUUCGGGUUGUAAAGCACUUUCAGUGGGGAAGAAAGCCUUGGGGCUAAUACCCUCGAGGAAGGACAUCACCCACAGAAGAAGCACCGGCUAACUCCGUGCCAGCAGCCGCGGUAAUACGGAGGGUGCGAGCGUUAAUCGGAAUUACUGGGCGUAAAGCGCGCGUAGGCGGUCUGAUAAGCCGGUUGUGAAAGCCCCGGGCUCAACCUGGGAACGGCAUCCGGAACUGUCAGGCUAGAGUGCAGGAGAGGAAGGUAGAAUUCCCGGUGUAGCGGUGAAAUGCGUAGAGAUCGGGAGGAAUACCAGUGGCGAAGGCGGCCUUCUGGACUGACACUGACGCUGAGGUGCGAAAGCGUGGGUAGCAAACAGGAUUAGAUACCCGUGUAGUC
rnacentral:rRNA from 1 species